rnacentral:rRNA from 1 species
GAUAAACGCUGGCGGCGUGCUUAACACAUGCAAGUCGAACGAAGUUUUUCCUUCGGGAGAAACUUAGUGGCGGACGGGUGAGUAACGCGUGGGUAACCUGCCCUGUACAGGGGGACAACAGCUGGAAACGGCUGCUAAUACCGCAUAAGCACUUAGCACUGCAUGGUGCAUAGGGAAAAGGAGCAAUCCGGUACAGGAUGGACCCGCGUCUGAUUAGCCAGUUGGCAGGGUAACGGCCUACCAAAGCGACGAUCAGGAGCCGAUCUGAGAGGAUGUACGGCCACAUUGGGACUGAGACACGGCCCAGACUCCUACGGGAGGCAGCAGUGGGGAAUAUUGCACAAUGGAGGAAACUCUGAUGCAGCGAUGCCGCGUGAGUGAAGAAGUAUUUCGGUAUGUAAAGCUCUAUCAGCAGGGAAGAAAAUGACGGUACCUGACUAAGAAGCACCGGCUAAAUACGUG